GGGCUUGUACUGGUUUCGACAGGGAUCUCGAAGAUGGAGAAGCUAUCCGUAGGCUGAUGCGUUAAAUCGCAAACUUAAAAUUAAACGCUAACGAUAAUUUCGAAUUAGCUGCAGCCUAAAUGCUGCAUGUCAGCCCUGAAGCACUCACACUUUAGGAAUCUGGCACCGACUAUGUGAGAAACGAUGACGGCAAAGCUUUGAGCUGUCAGGCGUAUUAUGAAGCUACUAAACCCGUAAGGAUGUUAGUUUUCGUACGGCAGAGGGAAUGUCAAAUAACUGACUAUGAUAGUAGAAGUACAUGGGACAGGUUUUUGGACGCGGGUUCGAUUCCCGCCAGGUCCACUU
rnacentral:tmRNA from 1 species